AGAAACUAAAAGACAUUUAGAUUUAUAUUCUAUUGUGGAAUCUGCAAAUUGGAUUUGGCGUCCAUUUGGCAUUCUGGCAGUUGUGCCUAAUGGUUCCAAUAGAAAAUACACUUUAAGUAAAAUACUUAUUAUAUAUAACAUUUUAAUAGUGAUUUUAAUUUUGAGUUCGCACAUUGGACAAUCGUACAACAUUAGGAAGGAAAGAAUUUUUCAACAACUUAGUGUGGAUGUACAAUUACUGAUUGCUAUAAGGUAUCAAUUGAAUGUGAUCAAUGUAUUUGAUGUUAUUUUCUGGAAAAUUCUAUUUAACAAUCAAUUUAUAGAAGCAGUUGAUUCCCUAGUUGCUCAAGACAAUAAUUUACAGAAAGUGGGAUGUUUUUUUAAAUACACAAAACAUUUGAAGAAAUAUAAAAUUUUCGUGAUAUUAUAUUUUUGUGCUCUUUUUUCAAUAAGUGCUCAGAUACUUUCUUUUGG